UGCAAGUCGAACGAAGUGGCCCAUUGAUGAUUGAGUGCUUGCACAAUUUCUGAUAUGGAAUUCUACUUAGUGGCAGACGGGUGAGUAACACGUGGGUAACCUACCUCGAGGACUGGGAUAACAGUUAGAAAUGACUGCUAAUACCGGAUAAUUCAUAUUUAGAUAACUAGAUAUGCUAAAAGGAGCUUCGGCUUCACCUAGAGAUGGGCUUGCGUUGUAUUAGCUUGUUGGUGGGGUAAUGGCCUACCAAGGCAACGAUGCAUAUCCGAGCUGAGAGGCUGAUCGGACACACUGGGACUGAGACACGGCCCAGACUCCUACGGGAGACAGCAGUUAGGAAUAUUCGUCAAUGGGGGAAACCCUGAACGAGCAAUGCCGCGUGAGUGAUGAAGGUCUUAUUGAUCGUAAAACUCUGUUGUAGAGGAAGAACCCUUAUCAUAGGUAAUGAUGAUAAGCUGACGGUACUCUACCAGAAAGCCCCGGCUAACUACGUGCCAGCAGCCGCGGUAAUACGUAGGGGGCGAGCGUUAUCCGGAUUUAUUGGGCGUAAAGCGUGUGUAGGCGGUUUAUUAAGUUUAAGAUUAAAGCCCGGAGCUUAACUCCGGUUCGUCUUAAAAACUGGUAGACUUGAGUGUAGUAGAGGCAAGUGGAAUUUCUAGUGUAGCGGUUAAAUGCGUAGAUAUUAGAAGGAACACCAGUGGCGAAGGCGGCUUGCUGGGCUAUUACUGACGCUGAGACACGAAAGCGUGGGGAGCAAAUAGGAUUAGAUACCCUAGUAGUCCACGCCGUAAACGAUGAGUACUAAGUGUCGGGAGACCGGUGCUGAAGUUAACACAUUAAGUACUCCGCCUGAGUAGUACGG
rnacentral:rRNA from 1 species